rnacentral:sRNA from 1 species
AUCCUCCAGUACAGUCAAGCUUUCAGAUGACUGCAGUCCCAGCAGAUACAUGACUCCAAUCUCAUCAGAGACCCAAGCCACAACCACUCAGCUAAGCCACUCCAAAACUAACCUACAGAAACUAUAAGAGACCUAAGGAGAAGACUGACCAGCUUCUUCUGAAGACUUCUGCCCUCUAAAGACUAAGGCCUAAUUCCACUGGUUUCUUUGAAUUCCGUGGUCCUAAGUCCAUUUUCAGACAAAGUUUCUGUGGAAAGACCUACGGACAAAGACAUCUCUCCUUGGCAGAGUGAGCUAGGAUUACCAGCUCUUCAGCCGCAGCUGAAGGCAGGAGUCCAUGGAACCCCAGAAGCUGCUGAUAAUUGGAUUUCUGCUAUGCUCUCUAACUUGCCUCUUGUUGGAGACAGUAGCUUCCUCUCCUUCGCCUUUGUCUGCCUUGGGAAUACAAGAAAAAACAGGAUCGAAACCACGCUCAGGGGGUGUGUUUGCUGUUAGGAUGAAUGUUUCUUUCUUCAUAGGACUUAAGAUUCAUGUUUCAGGUCAGGUAAAAUGAAUUUCAUGUUUAAAAAGAAUGUUCAUAGGAAAGCAAACUAUUCUGGUUUGGUUCAAUUUAGUU